rnacentral:rRNA from 1 species
AACGAACGCUGGCGGCAUGCCUAACACAUGCAAGUCGAGCGAGAUCUUCGGGUAUAGUGGCGCACGGGUGCGUAACGCGCGGGAAUCUGCCCUUUGGUUCGGAAUAACAGUUGGAAACGACUGCUAAUACCGGAUGAUGACGAAAGUCCAAGGAUUUAUCGGCAGAGGAUGAGCCCGCGUAGGAUUAGCUAGUUGGUGUGGUAAAGGCGCACCAAGGCGACGAUCCUUAGCUGGUCUGAGAGGAUGAUCAGCCACACUGGGACUGAGACACGGCCCAAACUCCUACGGGAGGCAGCAGUGGGGAAUAUUGGACAAUGGGCGAAAGCCUGAUCCAGCAAUGCCGCGUGAGUGAUGAAGGCCUUAGGGUUGUAAAGCUCUUUUACCCGGGAUGAUAAUGACAGUACCGGGAGAAUAAGCUCCGGCUAACUCCGUGCCAGCCGCCGCCGUAA